GACGAACGCUGGCGGCGUGCUUAACACAUGCAAGUCGAACGGUGAACGAGGGAGCUUGCUCCCUCCGGAUCAGUGGCGAACGGGUGAGUAACACGUGAGCAAUCUGCCCCGAACUCUGGGAUAAGCGUUGGAAACGACGUCUAAUACCGGAUACGACGCGGGAGGGCAUCCUCUCCGCGUGGAAAGAACUUCGGUUCGGGAUGAGCUCGCGGCCUAUCAGCUUGUUGGUGAGGUAACGGCUCACCAAGGCGACGACGGGUAGCCGGCCUGAGAGGGUGACCGGCGACACUGGGACUGAGACACGGCCCAGACUCCUACGGGAGGCAGCAGUGGGGAAUAUUGCACAAUGGGCGCAAGCCUGAUGCAGAAACGCCGCGUGAGGGACGACGGCCUUCGGGUUGUAAACCUCUUUUAGCAGGGAAGAAGCGAAAGUGACGGUACCUGCAGAAAAAGCACCGGCUAACUACGUGC
rnacentral:rRNA from 1 species